GACAGAGGUGCCGAGCGUCAGGCGGAAUCACUGGGCUUAAAGCGCGUGUAGGCGGCUUUGCAAGUCGGGUGUGAAAUCCCUCGGCUCAACCGAGGAAGUGCGCCCGAAACUGCAGAGCUUGAGUACUGGAGAGGAUGGUGGAAUUCCCCAAGUAGAGGUGAAAUUCGUAGAUAUGGGGAGGAACACCGGUGGCGAAGGCGACCAUCUGGACAGAUACUGACGCUGAGACGCGAAAGCGUGGGGAGCAAACAGG
rnacentral:rRNA from 1 species